GAUGAACGCUGGCGGCGUGCCUAAUACAUGCAAGUCGAGCGAACAGACGAGGAGCUUGCUCCUCUGACGUUAGCGGCGGACGGGUGAGUAACACGUGGAUAACCUACCUAUAAGACUGGGAUAACUUCGGGAAACCGGAGCUAAUACCGGAUAAUAUAUUGAACCGCAUGGUUCAAUAGUGAAAGACGGUUUUGCUGUCACUUAUAGAUGGAUCCGCGCCGCAUUAGCUAGUUGGUAAGGUAACAGCUUACCAAGGCAACGAUGCGUAGCCGACCUGAGAGGGUGAUCGGCCACACUGGAACUGAGACACGGUCCAGACUCCUACGGGAGGCAGCAGUAGGGAAUCUUCCGCAAUGGGCGAAAGCCUGACGGAGAAACGCCGCGUGAGUGAUGAAGGUCUUCGGAUCGUAAAACUCUGUUAUUAGGGAAGAACAAAUGUGUAAGUAACUAUGCACGUCUUGACGGUACCUAAUCAGAAAGCCACGGCUAACUACGUG
rnacentral:rRNA from 1 species